rnacentral:lncRNA from 1 species
GUUAAGUGCAAACUUUGUAACGAAACUUUUAAAUAUUUGACCGGAGGAAAUUUAGGGGGGGACUGGGACACUUACUAGACAUAUGAUGUCUAACCAUCCUAUAGAAUGGGGCAAUAAUGGGUGGGGGACUGGGACACUUAGUAGACAUAUGAGAUCUGACCGUCUCACAGAAUGGAGCAAUAAUCCAACAGAAUUUUCGUCAAGUCGAUCAUUACAAGUCUUACGAUUCAUUCGAUUGGCAGGUCCAAUCGAUUCAUAGCCUCUCGAGCACAACCCAUAUUCAUGCAAGUACCGGCAUGCAAAGGUUCGAUUUCUUUUACUCCAGAUUAUGAACACCCGAUCGGAUCUGUCAAAAACGAGCUGACAACUUCAAGGGAAGCAACUGACUGUAGUCCCCGAGCCCGCAAGCCAA